rnacentral:tRNA from 1 species
AAAAUAAAAAUGGAAUUAACCAUUUAAGAUAAGAAUUAGAAAUUCAACUUUGUUUAAACUUAUCU